GUUUGUUUGUAGAGCUUUUUCUAUUAAGUGGAGUACUUUUAUUUACAGCUAUAUCACAAAUUUGUUGUCAUAUAGUGCCACACACAAACUCCUUUUUUCUACUCAAUAUUGGAUCUUGAAAGCUGUACAAGGUUUUCCCAUUCUUUUCCCCUUUCUGUCUGUUCCUGAGAUUUGGGGUUUUGACUGCAAAAUUGUUGGUGGGUGUUGUUUGAAUCUGAUCAUUUGUGUUGUGGUUACUUUUGGGUGCUAGGUAUAGUUUUUGAUCUGCAAGUUGGAAUUCAACUUGGUUGAGUUACUUUUUUGGAUAAGAUUCUUGACCUUUUUGCUUAUUGCUAGCUGUUGUUUGUGGUUUUGAUGCUUGCCACCUGAAGUAUGCAGCCUGAUCAGCGAAAAAAAGGGUCUGGAGAUGUAGAUUUCUUUACUGAAUACGGUGAAGGGAGUCGAUACAAGAUAGAGGAAGUUAUUGGCAAAGGUAGCUAUGGUGUAGUAUGCUCUGCGUAUGAUACCCAUCUAGGGGAAAAAGUUGCAAUCAAGAAGAUAAAUGACAUCUUUGAACAUGUCUCUGAUGCCACACGUAUUCUUCGUGAGAUCAAGCUUCUUAGGCUUCUUCGGCAUCCAGAUAUAGUGGAAAUCAAGCAUAUAUUGUUACCUCCUUCUCGGAGGGAAUUCAAGGAUAUCUAUGUUGUCUUUGAACUCAUGGAAUCUGAUUUGCACCAAGUCAUUAAAGCAAAUGAUGAUCUGACGCCGGAACAUUAUCAAUUUUUCCUUUAUCAGCUUCUUCGAGGGCUGAAAUAUAUACACACAGCCAAUGUCUUUCACCGUGACCUGAAACCCAAAAAUAUAUUAGCAAAUGCUGACUGCAAGCUUAAGAUCUGUGACUUUGGUCUUGCAAGAGUGGCCUUCAAUGAUACUCCAACAGCUAUAUUUUGGACUGAUUAUGUUGCUACGAGGUGGUAUAGGG
rnacentral:misc_RNA from 1 species